rnacentral:rRNA from 1 species
GAUGAACGCUGGCGGCGUGCCUAAUACAUGCAAGUCGAGCGAACAGAUGAGGAGCUUGCUCCUCUGACGUUAGCGGCGGACGGGUGAGUAACACGUGGAUAACCUACCUAUAAGACUGGGAUAACUUCGGGAAACCGGAGCUAAUACCGGAUAAUAUAUUGAACCGCAUGGUUCAAUAGUGAAAGACGGUUUUGCUGUCACUUAUAGAUGGAUCCGCGCCGCAUUAGCUAGUUGGUAAGGUAACGGCUUACCAAGGCAACGAUGCGUAGCCGACCUGAGAGGGCGAUCGGCCACAUUGGAACUGAGACACGGUCCAGACUCCUACGGGAGGCAGCAGUAGGGAAUCUUCCGCAAUGGGCGAAAGCCUGACGGAGCAACGCCGCGUGAGUGAUGAAGGUCUUCGGAUCGUAAAACUCUGUUAUUAGGGAAGAACAAAUGUGUAAGUAACUAUGCACGUCUUGACGGUACCUAAUCAGAAAGCCACGGCUAACUACGUG